AACUUCCCCGCCAAUGCUGGGAUGGCUAUCCACUACAUGGUAUGGCUUGCAUUUGAUUAUAUUGUGUCUCUGUUCUUAGGUCUUUUAAUGUUUUAGCUUCUCAGCAGCAUUUUAUAGAAUAUCUGAUCAUCACUUUUGAGGGAGAUUUUAUUUCUUUCUGGCUGGGAGUACUAGGAAUUAGACCCAUGACCUUACAGAUGGUAGGCAAGUGCUCUACCUGGGUUACAGCCCCAGCCCUUGUGGAUGAUGUUAUUAUGAGACAAUAAUUUUCUUCUCUUAAUAUCAUAGUUUUUCAGCGUUCUGAUGCCUUCAGGAAAAGCCAUCAAGUCUUACAUGUCUUCCAGUUUUCUUGUCUUUCUCACCUAGAAUCAUAUGCAGACAGACAAGCCUGUGUUACCAGGAGUAGAGUGUUUCUUGUCUUGUCCUUUAAUACCCCUUAUCCUAAACUGCUUAUUGUCAACUUCUGUGCAUUUGAACUUCAAAAGGACCAAAGGACCCCUGACUUCUUGGCAUCUCACCCCAUCUUACGUUUGCAUGCUUUUCCUUUUUAUUUUGACCAUGAGGAGUUUACUUUUUCCCUCUCCCCUUCUACAACGGGGUUGUUAUUUCUCUAGUCCACAAGUUCUCAUUGCCAGUCUCUCCUCCACACUCACCCACAAAUACAUCCCAGCAUCCCACGCUUGCAUUGGAGUAUUGGUUUCCAGUUUCCUGGCAUGUUUGCUGACCAGUCUCCUGGUGUAGUCUCAGAAGCAGUCUCAAGCCACACACCUCCAGUUUUCCUUAUUGCUGGAGCCAGGAGAGCCUCCAUAUCCCCUGCUGUCCAAUGGCCCAAAUGUGUUUAUCCUCUGCCAGCUCCUCUCCUCUUAGCUGCCGGCAUAACCAGCACCUCUUCUGCUUCCAUUGAGUCCUCAGUACACAUUUGUUAACACACAGUAAGGAAGAGAAACAGAGUACCCUGCCUCAAUGUAACAGUGUAUGAUAACAACCAGUAGUGAUGUCGUCAUUUGACAGAAGAAUCAGCAUUACAUGCAGGAAUUUCAAUGAAUUAAAAGUCAGCAUGUGCAAUAAAAUAUAUUUAAAAACCUAGGUUCGAAAUUAUAUUGUUCUUCUCUAUAUUUUUGAUGUUGUAAGUAACCUAUUUGUUUUUAAGCUUCUCACCCUAGAAGGACACCAUCAGCUGAUUACUGCUGUGGUUUUUGGAAACCAAACAGACCCCCUUCAGCUCUGCUCUGCAUCACAGGAUUGUAUUAUAAUGUGGAAUGUGGAUGACUGUAGAGAGAAGAUACUUAAAGGUCUGACGCCUCGAGGGACUAUCCUGGGUUCCUUUUUACAAACAGUGCACUGUUUGAGAUUUAGUCUGGAUGAUCAUGCUGUUGCCGUGUGUGCUGGAAACAAAAUAUCUGUGAUGGAUGUGGAGAAGCAGUCUGUGCUGGUGGAGCUGCAGGGCCAUCAAGGCUCAGUGACAGCAGUAGAGUUCUGUCCCUGGCAAGCAAACAUCCUCAUCUCUGUGUCUGAAGACAGAAGCUUUAAGGUCUGGGACUAUUGUGUGGGAUCCUUGAUAUAUAGCUCAUCCAUUUUAACAGGUUACCCUCUCCUGAGUUUGCUUAUCAGUGAAGAAAACCGACAGCUGGUCACUGGCAGUGCCGAUGGCCAGCUGUGGAUCUUUAGUUUGAUGGAGAGACAUCACUACCACCGUGUGGCACAUGUGGACCUAAGGAAGAAGAGUGAGACUUUCUCCACCCGAAGAAUGAUGGCUGGGCAGGACAGUCGGCCAGAAGACAGUCAGUGCCACUCCAGACCUGAGGUGGAUAAAAGGGAAGAGGCUGAAGCAACAUUCCCUGUCCUGAGCCUGGCACACUGUGACCUCAGCCUGCAGGAUUCCCAGUGUGGAGUAUUUUCUUCUGAGUGCACCAAAUACCUGUGGAUUGGAAGCUCAACGGCUUUGUUCAUAUUUAACCUGGCAAGUGUUGAAUUGGAAGCUGCUUUACAUUUCAAGGAAUUUCAGAGCCUGAGUGUCCAAAUUGCUGGGUCCUGUGCCGUGAUGCGUGGUGAGGCCGUGAGCCCCAAGGCAUUUUGCAUACUUUCAUCUAUGUUUGGAAAUAAGAUUGCCAUAUUGGAAAUCAGCCUGGCUGCUCUGCUGAGCUUUCAGAAGUGCCCUGGUGCUGGAAGGAUGCUUUCCGUGCUGGCAAGCUCCUGUGUCCUGCCAACUUCUCCACUGUAUUUUGGAAUUAUUAAGGAAAAUUUUGAUAAACCUGCUAAUACCAAGAAACAUGCUGUGAGGAGUGUCAUAGAGGACCAGCCCUUGGUUUUCCACGCUAAAAUCAGAUCAUCUGGCUAUACAUCGGCACCACAUGUAACUAUGUUUUCACCAAAGACUAACAUCAAGCGUAAUAGCAAAAGAACUUCAAAAUUCAAGAACAAUUACAAAUGUAAGGAGUACUCUUUGGAGAAUUUCCUACCCAGAAGUCUCAGCAGGCAGGUUGCUGUGGCCCAGGAGCCUGUUGCUGUGCGCUGUCUGCAGUACUCAGGGGAUGGACAGCGGUUGGCCUGUGGCUUAGCUAACCACCUUUCCCUGGUCUUUGAUGCUAGCCUUUCUGCAACACCUACUGCUUUUUCAGGUCAUGAUGGAGCUGUGAAUACUGUCUGUUGGAGCCAUGACAAGAAAUGGCUGCUGUCUACAGGCCGGGACCAGACACUGAGAGUGUGGUCAGUUCACAGGACAGAACUCAUGCUGCUUUUGGGUCCAGAGUCCUUUCCCAAGCCGAUAACAUCUGCACAGUUCUACUACAUGGAUACUUUCAUACUGCUGUCUUCUGGCUCUGAAUUUUGGCUGCUAAAGUACCACAUUGACCUCUGUAGGGAUGACAUACGAAGGUAUAAGCCAAAAAGCAGGUAUAAGCCUAUUUUUAGGCUCCCGUUGACCAGUGAGGCAGAAGUGACCACCCUGUCUGCAGUGAACGACUUUUAUUCCCACAUCAUACUCACAGCUGGCCGGGACCGAACUGUGGAAGUUUUUGACCUCAAUGUUGGCCGCAGUGCUGCUGUGAUAGCUGAAGUCCAUUCACGGCCUGCCCAUCAAAUUUGUCAAAAUAAAGGAUCAUCAUUUACGACCCAGCAGUCUCUGGCAUACAAUCUUUUCCUGACCACAGCUGUUGGUGAUGGGGUUCGACUGUGGGACCUGAGGACGCUGAGGUGUGUGCGCCGCUUCGAAGGGCAUCCCAACCGCUGUUACCCUUGUGGAGUUGCUUUUAGUCCUUGUGGAAGAAUCAUGGGCUGUGGUGCAGAGGACAGACAUGCGUACGUGUAUGAAAUGGGCUCGAACAGCUUUCUGUAUCGUCUUGCAGGACAUACAGAUACAGUUACUGAAGUGGCCUUCAACCCCGCAGCUCCUCAGCUUACCACUGCCACCUUGGAUGGGAAACUUCAGCUGUUUGUGGUUGAGUGACUGCUGACCGGCUGGAUGAACAAGGCCCAGGGGACAGAAGAUGGAUAGACAGCCAUACUCAUUCUGGUCUUCUCAGUCUCUGAUGAGAGAUCCCAGAAGGACAAGAACUGAAUGGAAACAGCACAGGUAGCUCAGAAGACAAAGGGUACAAAUUUGGCCAACUGUGGAAGGGAGUGUCUGCUAUUUGUGAAGUUUAUCAGAAAACUGAACGUGGGUGGAAAAGAUGGUCACUCAUGGGGAGACAACCAAAGCAAGAAGGCAGUGAAACUAAUGAUGAAGACAAGAUGGCUGUACCUGGGCCUCGACCAGGGAGUCUGCAGAGGGCAGAGAGCCGUCUUGCACUGAUUACUUUAUGACUGACCCUUGACAUUGAUUCUUAAAAAAGUUACAUUCAUACAAGGUUAUAUUCUCCCUUUGGAUCUUGGAAAAGAAGAUCCACUUAACUCUUUCUAAACAUGAACUGAGGGAACCUGGCAUUCACUGUACUGGAGCUAUGCAGCCUCUUAGACAGUCCCACCGAGGUAGGCACCAGUUGGUCCAUUUAUUUAGAGGGCUGGGGCAGAAAACAUCUUUCUGACAAGCAACUCCUCUGUCCUUUACCUGGUAUGUUAGGUGGGGUCAGAGAUGACAAGCCACAACCCACAAGUCUCCACAUGACUGUAGUGUCCCACUGGGAACAGCCACAAUGCCUACUGAGCCUGGACCUUUGGGGUUACCAGGCCCAUUGCCAUCUGAAUUACGACAAAGCUGUUCACAAGAGGAACUUCAAGUUGAGUUGCCAUGUGCUAGCACUGCAACACCUGGGCCUCCUCUCCCCCAGUGGAGGAGUGUGCCAAAGACUCUGCCCUCCUCAGCUUUCAUGAGGAUUUGAUUUCCUGGAGGAGCCAUCACUGCAGACUGGUGUCAAGGACCACUGCUCAGAUUUUUCUCUAACUGUAAAAAAGAAGAGAUGCUGAUGAGUGUAAAUUCUGGAAGAAAGGUGUUAAGAGAAAAUAAAUUGUAUUGAUGCAAGUGCAAGUUUAAAUCACUGAGUUAGUAUCUACCCCAAACACGCAAACACCAUUUCAACUUUGAAUUAGGUAAUGGCUGCCUAUGUCUCAUUCUAUUUGUUCAAAUACCAUUGUAGUUUUAUGUAGGUAAUCUUGUUUGAAUCUGAACUAUCUCCACAAGAUAAUGUUUUGAAUACUUGUUUCUAGGUGUAAGCACUAUUGGGAGAUAGGCUCUUUGGUUACUAGGGUCAGUGUGCUAGCUAGUUUUAUGUCACCUUGACACAAGCUCGAGUUCCCUGAAAGGAGGGAGCCUCAAUUGACGAGAUGCCUUCAUGCAAUCUGGUUGUGAGGCAUUUUCUUAAUUAGUGAUUGACAGGGGAGGGCCCAGCCUG